rnacentral:rRNA from 1 species
GAUGAACGCUGGCGGCGUGCCUAAUACAUGCAAGUCGAGCGAACAGAUGAGGAGCUUGCUCCUCUGACGUUAGCGGCGGACGGGUGAGUAACACGUGGAUAACCUACCUAUAAGACUGGGAUAACUUCGGGAAACCGGAGCUAAUACCGGAUAAUAUAUUGAACCGCAUGGUUCAAUAGUGAAAGACGGUUUUGCUGUCACUUAUAGAUGGAUCCGCGCCGCAUUAGCUAGUUGGUAAGGUAACGGCUUACCAAGGCAACGAUGCGUAGCCGACCUGAGAGGGUGAUCCGCCACACUGGAACUGAGACACGGUCCAGACUCCUACGGGAGGCAGCAGUAGGGAAUCUUCCGCAAUGGGCGAAAGCCUGACGGAGCAACGCCGCGUGAGUGAUGAAGGUCUUCGGAUCGUAAAACUCUGUUAUUAGGGAAGAACAAAUGUGUAAGUAACUAGGCACGUCUUGACGGUACCUAAUCAGAAAGCCACGGCUAACUACGUG